CUUGAGCCCAGGAGUUUGAGACCAGCCUGGACAACAUGAAAAUCCACGGCUAUUGUUGCCAGUAAGAGGCCACAUCAAGUGACUGAUCUUGAAACAAGAGAUUAAGGAUUACCAACCAAUGGGUAAAGGAGUUACAGCAGCUUUUAAGGCCCACUGCCUGAGGAGGAGCAGCUUUGCUCAGGUUAUUACUGCAACAAAGGAAGACACGGAGAAGACGCUGAUGCAAUUCUGAAAGGAUUACAUCUACGACUCCAUCAGGACCCUUGCUUGGGCUUGGGGUGAUGUUACCAAGGAACGUAUAAAUGACAUCUGGAAGAAGACACUCAAGAGGUUCAUCCGUGAUUUCAAAGGAUUUGCCAAGGACAAGGAGGUUGCAAAAACCAACAAGGCUGUGGUUGAGAUGGCAAACAAUUUUAACCUGGGGGUGGAAGAAGAAGACAUUGAGGAGCUCCUACAGGUGGUUCCUGAGGAACUGACUAAUGAGGAGUUGUUGGAACUGGAACAGGAACACAUACCUCAAGAAGAGGCAAGGAAGAAAAAACUGCAGAAGAAAAAGAAUCCCCAUGAAAAUUCACAGUGAAGAGCUGAGAAGUUUUUGCAGACCUCAGUAAGCGCCUUAAAAAUUCUGAAAACAUGGGCCCCUCAACACCAAAAGGGUUUCAUUAACAGAGAGGAAUGUUCUUUAUGCACUGUCUGCUUACAAGCAAAUCUAUGAUGAAAAAGGAAAGCAAGCAAACCACCAUGGACAUAUUUCUGAUGCAUGACAUCUCCUAAGAACCUCAGGUAGGUCUUGUUAUCCUAGCUCCACGUUUUUUUCUUUUUUGAGUCAGGGUCUCACCUUGUCACCCAGGCUGGAGUACAGUGGUGCGGUCACGGCUCACUGCAGCCUUGACUUCCCGGGUUCAAGCGAUCCUCCUGCCUCAGCCUCCUGAGUAGCUGGGACGACAGGCACGUGCCACCACACCUGGCUAAUUUUUGUAUUUUUUGUAGAGACAGGGUUUCGCCGUGUUGCCCAGGCUGGUCUUAAAUUCCUGGGCUCAAGCGAUCCGCCUGCCCUGGACUCCUGAAGUGCUAGGAUUACAGGCGUGAGCCACUGGGCCCAGCUGUCCCUGCGUGUUAUUGCCCCUGAAGACCUUCCAGCGGGGCAAGAUGAGGAGGUGGGAGAUAGAAAUAUCCAUGAAUCUGACCCUUUGUAGGCCUAGGCUAAUGUGUGUAAUUGUGUCUUAGUUUUUAACAAAAAAGUUUAAAAAAAUUUAAAAUAUAAAAAAGCUUGUGGAACAAGGAUAUAAAAAAAGAAUAUAUUUUUAUACAGUUGUGCAAUUAGUUUGUGCUUUAAGUGCUAAGUGUGAUCACAAAAGAGUCAAAAAGUUAAAAAAUUUUAAAAAUUUAUAAAGUAAAAAGUUACAGUAAGCUAAGGGUAAUUUAUUAUUGAAGAAAGAAAAAUAUUAUUUAAUAAAUGUAGUGUAGCCUAAGUGUAGAGUGUUUGUAAAGUCUAGAGUAGUGUGCAGUCAUACCUUAGGCCUUCACAUUCACUGUCACUCACUGACUCACCCAGAGCAACUUCCAGUUCUGCAAGCUCCAUUCACGGUAAGUGCCUUUUACAAGUGUAAUUUUUAAAUCUUUUAUACUUGAUUUUUACUGUACCUUUUCUAUGUUUAUAUACAUAAAUACUUGCCAUUGUCUUACAACUGCCUACAGUAUUUAGUACAGUAGCAUGCUGUGCAGGUUUGUAGCCCUAGGAGCAAUAGGCUAGACCGUAUAGCCUAGCUGUGUAGGAGGCUGUACCAUCCAGGUUUGUGUAAGUACUCUACAGUGUUCGUACAAGGACGAAACUGCCUAAUGACGCAUUUCUCAGAAUAUAUCUCUGUUGUCGAGCAAUACGUGAUUGUAAAAUGUGAGACGACAUUUGCAAAAAUGUCCACUAACCACUGGGCAGCAGUGCUGUCUGUGUUCUAAAUUAUGGUGAGGGCUGGCUACAAUGGUGCACUCCCAUAAUCCCAGCACUUUGGGAGGCUGAGGCGGGAGGGUGGCUUGAACCCAGGAGUUUGAGACCAGUCUGGGCAACACAGUGAGACCCUGACUGUUCAAAAAAUGAAAGAAAAAUUAACUGAGUGUGGUAGCAGGUGCCUGUGGUCCCAGCUACUCAGGAGGCAGAGGUGAGAGGCUUGUUUGAGCCCAGGAAGUCAUAACAGUGGGGCGUGUAGGAGAGAGAGAUAGGCCAAUCUGUGACGGCUGGCCUAUACACCUUUCUGUGACCGCCACCUCUGCAAACCAGGUAAAUUCUCAGUUCAGCUUAGCAAACAUUCUAUAAGCGCACACCAUGGACAGGCCCUUCUCUGGGUUUUAGGGCACAUCAUUUCACAUGCUGGCUCCUUCCCCAAGGCACUCACUGAUUACGGCUCUCUGGGGGAGGGAGUGCUAUUUACACAAAUGCAAACUGGUCUAAUAUCAUCCAAUAAAAACUCAAAAGAUCACCAAGUAGGGGGAAAAAAGCACAACCAGACACCUUAAUACAGGGAGAGGAAAUUCUGUUAAUUCCACGUUUAUUAAUCACACAGCUCUCUGCAGACUAGACACUAAAACACACAAUUGUCAAAAACUAGAAAAAUGAGUUAUGUCCACGUUUUAAAAGCAAAACUUUAUAAAUUUCUUACCACACUCAUUCCCAAGUUUUAUCCCACAAAGUAUAGCAUGAAACAAUGACAACAUACAUAUUAUUCAAGUAAAAUGCUAUUUAAAAUAGCUGCACACAGGUAAUUAAAACACUAGGAUCCAGUUUUUAGAGGAAAAAGUCAUGUGGCACAAUUUCAAGUUCAUAAUUGAAGUUAACAGUAAAACAGAUUUGCUCACAUUUGCUUCUGAUCUUUAUUUCUGCUGUCUCUCUUUAGUAGAAUAAAGAAAUGGCACUUCACAUAAAAUCAUAUUUAAAAGCUACUAAAAUGGAUAAACAGAUGCAGAUCAGCUCUUUAAUGAGAAUCCCUGCAUAGCUGGAGGAAGUUCAAGGAUAAUUGUUUUUUCAAGGCAAAUAGACUCUUGUUACGUGGCUAAUUUCAUGUACAUUAUCAUCGCUGGGAAGUUCCUGCUGAGAACUCACGGUAGCUAUGCCAGAAAAGUACUUUCUUCACAGGAGGUGUUGAAAUAAUGCCGGAUAAAUGCAAGUAAGGUCAAUAUCUCCCUCUUGGUCUAGAUCAGGAGCUGGCAAACUUUUUCUUUAAGGAGACAAGUAGUAAAUCUUUUAGGCUUUGCAGGCUAUACUGUCCCUGUCCCAACUAUUCAACUCUGCCAAGAAAGCAGUCCCAGACAAUACCAUAAAUGAAUGGGUGUGGCUAUGCUCUAAUAACAUUUUGUUUAUGGACACUGAAAUCUGAAUUUCAUAGAAUUUUCAGGUGUCAUGAAAUAUUGUUCUUCUUUUGAUUUUCUGCCCAAUCAUUUGAAAACAUAUAAACCAUUCUUAGCUCACAGGUUGUAUAAAAACAGGUGGCAGGCCAGGUUUGAUUCGUGGGCCAUAGUUUGCCAACCCCUGAUCUAAUGGUCCUUUUCUAGUCCAUGUUGUAAAAUGUAUAUAUUUUUAAAAUCCCGUUACAUAUGGCUACUUUAUUUAAAAAACAACAAAAACGUUCAGUUAAAAAUAAUUCUCUUUCUUCCCACAACCAAGGGCCAUUUUACUAAACAAUAAGCUAUUUCCUUUAAUUAGAAAAUUGAUCAAGGAUAUACAAUGAGUCUCUGGCCUCAAUUUAUGAACCCAUGAGCCAAAUAUGCAAGAAGACUCAAAAUUUGCCACCCAGCCAAAGAAUCUACUGGCUUACAAUGUUAAAAAUUUAUUUGGAAGUAUUCCUGCACACAUCUCAGCAUCGGUAAUCCAGAGUUAUAAAAAAUAAUGUUGGAGCAUUUGUAUUCUUUUUUUGAGGCGGAGUCUCGCUCUGUCAUCCAGGCUGGAGUGCAGUGGCGUGAUCUCUGCUCACUGCAAGCUCCGCCUCCUGGGUUCACGCCAUUCUCCUGCCUCAGCCUCCAGAGUAGCUGGGACUACAGGCACCUGCCACCACAUCCGACUAAUUUUUUUUGUAUUUUUAGUAGAGACGGGGUUUCACCGUGUUAGCCAGGAUGGUCUCGAUCUCCUGAUGUCGUGAUCUGCCUGCCUUGGCCUCCCAAGGUGUUGGGAUUACAGGCGUGAGCCACUGUGCCCAGCCCAGCAUUUGUAUUCUUAAUAGAAAAAGGAUGGAUACAUCUAAAUCACAAGUAAUUAAAAUGUUAUAUAAAACCACCUAAAAACUACACAAAUAAAGAGAAGACAUUAACUGUCAAAA